UUUGCUGUUGUUCUCGCCUGCGCGCUUGGAUGAGGUUCAGAGAGGAAAAUGUGAUUCAUAGUCCUUACAAUCUAAUGACUUGGAUUGAUAUCAAGAAUUUCAACAUAAUUCUGUUUGGACAAUGUGAAAAAAUAAAAACAAUCCCUUUUGAGAGGGAAUUCUGCAGUUUCAUGUAUGAUAUGCAUGCUUAGUGUUAAAACUCAACAAAAGACAGAUGUCUUUUUUUUCCCCAAAUUAGACACUGAGCAGAUACAAUCCGCAGGGGUUGUUUAAUCAAAAAGAGUGAAGCUGAAAAGAGAAGGAUUAAAUGAAUCCCAGAAUACUUGAAGAGAUAUAACAGCAGUCCCGUACUUUUUUUUUGUGUGUGUGUGUUAAAUGCUCCCAAAUCUUAAACUGCAUCUUUUCAACACCAACCGGCCGAAAUGAGAUGUGAAUGAUGUUGUCUGUAU